rnacentral:rRNA from 1 species
UCUCGGGCUAGGUUAGUACUUGGAUGGGUGACCGCUUGGGAAUACCAAGUGUGAUGAGCA